rnacentral:rRNA from 1 species
GCGGAGGAAAAGAAACUAACAAGGAUUCCCCUAGUAACGGCGAGUGAAGCGGGAAGAGCUCAAAUUUGAAAUCUGGUAGCCUUCGGUUGCCCGAGUUGUAAUCUAGAGAAAUGUUUUCCGUGCCGGCCCAUGUACAAGUCCCUUGGAACAGGGCGUCAUAGAGGGUGAGAAUCCCGUCCUUGACAUGGACCCCCGGUGCUUUGUGAUACAUUUUCAACGAGUCGAGUUGUUUGGGAAUGCAGCUCAAAAUGGGUGGUGAAUUCCAUCUAAAGCUAAAUAUUGGCGAGAGACCGAUAGCGAACAAGUACCGUGAGGGAAAGAUGAAAAGCACUUUGGAAAGAGAGUUAAACAGUACGUGAAAUUGUUGAAAGGGAAACGAUUGAAGUCAGUCAUGCUCUUUGGUAUUUAUAUCAUUGAGUGGGGUCAACAUCAGUUUUGAUCGAUGGAUAAAGGCACUAGGAAGGUAGCACUCUCGGGUGAACUUAUAGCCUAGCGUCAUAUACAUUGAUUGGGACUGAGGAACGCAGCAUGCCUUUAUGGCCGGGAUUCGUCCACGUACAUGCUUAGGAUGUUGACAUAAUGGCUUUAAACGACCCGUCUU